rnacentral:pre_miRNA from 1 species
GAUUUCAACUGAAAAAGUCAUCAACAAUAAAGUUCUAUAACUCAUCAAGAUCUAUAACUUUUAUUUUUGUCAUUUCUUCAUCCAAAAAAGUGAUGGUAAUAUUGUUCACGAAUUUUACAUAUCUCAGAUAUGUAAAUUUUGUGAACAAUGUUACUAUCACUUUAUCGGAUGAAGAAAUAACAAAAAUAAAAGUUGUAUAUCUUGAUGAGUUCUAUAACUUUUAUGUUCACGACUUUUUCAGCUGAAAUU